rnacentral:lncRNA from 1 species
CCCAGCCGCUCCCUGCUUGCUUAUUCCCUGUGCUCUUCACUCUCCCCUGUUCCUACUGGAAGUCAGAGAUUCCCCCUCCCUUUCUGUCGCUGACCCACUUAAACUGUAAUGAGCCUUCACUCUCUGCCUCUACUUCCUUACCUUGUAGUUUUUCUAGCCCUGUGCAAGCUGACUUCCUUUUACAUCACUCUACUGAAAUGGUUCUUUUUAAAGGGCACAACCAACCUCCCAGCCUGUGUACACUGGCACUAGGAUCUGACAGUGAAAAGAAUGGCUCUGUGUAUGCCCUCCUGGUGCUUAUUUUAGCAAGGAGUUACAUGUGGGCUCAGCACAAACAGCAGAUCAACUUGGCCUUGGAUCUCUGGGAAGAAAAGCUUAUCUUCAAAGAAGUGCUGGCAGUGUGGAGGGCGGACUGGAAGCGGUUUGAAGACAGCGAGAGGCCCAGCUGGGCACCAUGAUGGCUUACACUUCGAUAGUGACCGUGCGUGGAGAGCAAGAAGUGAAUUCCUCAUGUUUGGCCUUUUUGGAGAGAACUUUGGCAGUCUCGACUACAAAUGGACAAAUACCCUCAGAAUCAAUAAAUCUACUUGAAUGUCGUGGUUCAUUAACAUCAGACUGGUUACAUGAAUACACAAGGAUGACUCGUGAAAUGCUAUGCAGCAGUUAAAAAGAAAGAAGUAGAGCCAAAUAUAUUGUCAUAGAAAGAUUUCCAAGACAUUAGGUGGAAAAAGCAAGUUGCUGGAUAAUACGUACACUUUUACCCCAUUUCUGUAAAAACUAAAUAAAAC